AGGACGGUGCAGUGCGUGUGCCCUGCUCCCUGUUGGUGUAAUGGUGAUGGACAUGUUAUGUGGUGGAGAAGGGGACAAAAAAUAGAUGGUCGAGGAGGGUCAGUUGGGGGAAGUGAGAAUUGUACCUGUUUUCAUCUGAGGAAUGUUGAAGGGUCAUGAUGUACACACAUUCAAGACUGAACCUCUGGUUAAUAGGUUCAAUAUUUUAAAUAGUGAAGGUUUGUUUAUAAACACGAAGACUAAUUGAAGUAAUUUUAGAAUUCAUGUUAAGAAUUAUAUAUAUAUAUAUAUUGUAAAAUACUUCUUAAUUUUUUACCAGAUGAAGUGCUGCAUCUUUAAGCUUUAUGGAGUGAACAGAGACAUUUCUAACCUAUAUAUAGCAUAUGCAAGAAACAGGAGAGGGAGAUCCAUACGCAAGGAUUUCCCUCUUGUUAAGCGGCAAUCUAAGUUUUUUGUUUUCAUCACGGAUGUGACCUAUGUGCACAAGCCUUAAUCGUUAAAGAAGAGGAAUGUGUACAGAGUGCUAAAUUGCCAAACAUAGAGUAUAGACAGCUUUAGUAAAUGAAAAUGUUUCCCUUUAUAGAAAAAGUAACCAUUAACACCACACUCUACAUUUUCUGAAAAGUCAAACUUCAUUAGACACCAAGAAUUGUCUGAUUUAAAGGCUUAAGAUUAUCAAAUAAACCAUGCCUGAUUUUUAAACAUUGGAAUAUUAGUAUGAGAAAAGUCUUCAUGUAAAUCUGAAUGAAAGAAUUUCAAAGCUACUCUUAACUGAUGAAGUUUUUUUUUUUAAGGAGGGGGAGAACCUCCGUUUGGAUUUGAAGCAAACAAAAAUGUUUUGGUGAAAUAGGAUUAGUUCUUAAAUCUCAAGAAAGCUUGUGGAGUCAUGCAAAAUAGAAAAGAGAGGUUUAGCCUGCAUAGAAACAGAAUCACAUGAGCAAAAUAUUCAGACUUUCAUUCAUGUGAUGCUUGGUUGUUGUUGGCAACAAAUCUUUAAGAGGAAAAAAAAAGUGCAGCAAUUUUUUAUAGCUCAGAGGUUCAGUUUGCUUGGCAUUUUGUGGUGCAUAAAAUGUAAUCAUUGUCGGGUGGGUAAGGAAAGCUUAAAAUGGAAACAUGAUAAAAGUGAAUUUGAUUCAGUCUUGUCCUUUCUUUUUUAGAAUGCGUAGCCAUUUUCAUGAAAGCAUGUAGCAUCAGGCCAUAAAUAUAUCAAGUACACAAAAAGGGAAGAACUUUAGGAAUGAUCAUGUAAAAAAAUAUGCUGCUAGGGGCACAUAUAAAAGUAGUUGAAAGUGUGUAAUAAAUCACAAACAGUUUCAUCUUCUUAUUGGAAAUUCCCACUUUUAUUUUCUGAGAGUUUCUAUGGAUGAGCAGUAGUAUGGUGUAGUUGUAGGGAAGAGACUGGAAGCUUCUGCUCCUGCUAAACUGUGGUUUGAGAAAGCAGGAUAGUUUUGCCCAAGUUGGGCAUGCAAGGAAAGGGGACGGGUGAUAAGGGAAAUUGCAGGUGUGUGGCUUGUUCCAUGGUUUAUCAUGCCAAUAUGGUUACAUAUGGACGAGGCCAAUAAGCUGAUUUGAAACAUGCUAGCUACUAGUUAUUGUCUGAUAUUUUCACUUAGUUGUAGGAGGCAUUAUUGACCACUGUUUUUCUAAACAGUUUCUGGGAAUAUGAUUGAACAGUGGUAUUAAAAUAAUAAAGAAAUAAUAGAGCACCUUAUUUUCACAGGUUUUUCAGGGUUUCAAGGCAACAUAGGGACAUUUUUUUUCUGUCUUUGUGCACCAUAGAAAACAGUAUUUCUAACAUACAACCUACAGCUCACUUUUAAAACAAACAAACAAACAAAAACAAACAAACUGCAGUCUCUUCAGAGCUACUUGGAAAUGCUGUCCUCCUACUCUGGGAUUCUAAGUGGUUGUUUCGAUUGAUGUUUUGCUUUCUUUCUUUUGAUGCCAUUUUUUAAAUACUAUAUUUGUAUUUUAUACCUCUUAGUUACCAAGAGCACUAUUUGGCAGAAAUGCAGGAUAUAAUAAAUGCUAUAUAUAUAUAUUUAAAACAAAACAAUAACCUCAGAUUUUGUAGUUGAAAAUUCGUGUUAAGUGGUGCUGCCUUGGAGCUGGUUCAGAAACUUCAUCAUGUGAAAAACAUGAUGACUAUGACAUUUGGUGCAGUUUAUGAAGAGCACGUAACACUGAUUUUGAAAGGAUUGUGCUGGCUGCUGAUUUGAUAUUGAGUCAAAUUCAAGGUUUUUAUGCUAACCUAUAAAAUCCUAUAUACCCCAGGGCAUAGUAUUCCUGUACAUUAAUAGCUAUGGGGGAGGCCAUUCUAGAGGCACUGCAGCAAUUUAAGAUGCACUUUGCAGCAACCUGAUGGAGGAUUUUGGUCAUGGUACCUCAGUGGUAAAUCUUGCUCCCAUUUGAAAUAAGACAGUUUUAUAACUUUUAGGUGCCAGCUUAAGACACACCUUUUCACUCAGGUGCUUACUGGAUAUUAGUGCCUGUGCCUGUGUCUGUCUGUUAUUAUUUUCGUUUUUCUGGUUGCAAAUUGUGAUAUAUUUAUUCCUCCUGUUUUAUAUGUCGUAUUUUCACUUUUUAUGUAACCUGCUCCAGGAUUGCUACUGUAAUGAAAAGUGGAUAAUAAAUAUAUUAAUGAAUGAACAAAUUAAAUGAAACUGGAUGCUGAUUGAAAGGCUGCUCAUACAUGUACAGUCCUCUUCGUUCUAUUGAAAAUAAAUUAUGGGUGUCAGGUCAAGCUCAUUUAUCUGCCACAUUCUUUUAUCUGUAUCAUUUUAAAUCCAUAUAAACCACAGUGGAAUUAAUUGUGAUGAUGGGCAAAAAAGGGUGUUGUUUUUUUAAAAAAAGUAAAUAAAUAAAAUUAAACUCUGGUUGGGAUUAAGAAAUGGGUCCUAAGGAAUGGACCGCCACAAAAUUCUCCCCAAAUCCCAGAUGGGGACUGUGUGAUGACAUCAAUGCUUGAAGAAAGGCAGAGGGCUUUUAGAAAUGAAGUGGGAACAUUUUCCCUUUUUUGCUUACUGCUUUUGAGGUGUCUAUAUUGGCCUGUAAAGGUUCAUCCCAAUUUGCAGGACCAUAAUUAGGAGCAACUCCAUCAUAUCCUCUGUGUGCCCCCCACCCCCAUAACCAAUGAAAGAGAGACUUGUCUGGUUUAUUAUUUUCCAUAACUAGGACUCUCUCUCUUUCCUUUCCUUUCUACUUGAUUUGUGUUUUAUUCUGUUUCUUACCUGGUUUAUGUGUAGUUCUAAAGCUGUUCACGUAGCAGAUUCAAUAUGUUUUCAGCCAGGGAUUUCAGUUAAGAUGAUUAGUUGCUCCACUACAAUGCUAGUGGACAAGAUUAACACAUGCGAAUCACUAUAUGAAAUAAGGCUUACGCACAUUCAUUCUGGGCAAGUGUUAAACUACAAAUUAUAUUCCAGAAUGCAGCCUUCACUUUGUUUCCUCUCAGGAUGGAGGAUUACAUCCAGGCGUGGAAUUAAAACACACACAGACCUCUGCUUGGUAUGUGAAAUUUGCUUGUUAUUGUGCUAACAGAAAUAGGAACGUGCCAUUGUUUAAUAUAAACUUUUUGAGAAACUUUAACUGUGCCUUUACAAAAAAAUAAAUAAAUGACAGUGAAACAAAAAUUUUGAAAUAUAAUUUGUAAAGCACUUCCAGUCUUUUGUUUAUAAAUAUGGAACAAUGCAUAAUGUUGACGAUUUUGAAAAGCUGUACCCUCGAAAGCCCAGAGUGGGUGACUUUUACAUUCUUCUAAAAUACACAAACUAAAAAUAUAUUGAGUUACAUUUGCUUGUGCUUCUCUUGAAAAGUUUACCAAAGCAAUGCUAUUUUAGCAAUGAAUUUUCUAGACAAUUAAAAUUUGAUGCAAAAUUUACUUUAUUUAUCAAAUUUAUGUAUAUCUUGCCCUUCCUCCCAAUGGAGGAGAAAUAAAAUAAAAUCAUAUUUAAAACUUAAAAACAUAUAAAAAAAUGAAACGUAAUAAAAUAAAAUAUUGUUGCAUAUCACUUCAAGCGGUGCGAGAUUCCAGACCUUCCUCUUUUUCCAGGGCAUUCUUGCAGCACAGACACAGUUUUCCCACCACAGCAAACAUGCAAAAAGCACAAAUCAACAGCAUUAUUUUUUAAUAAAACAUUGCCAAAACCUGUGGGAAGGAUCCCUGCAGCAAAUAAGUAAACAGUCCCGGAAAGCACAAAUCCCUGCCCACUCACUGGAUAGGCGUCAGUGGAGCAUGAGAUUGAAUAAUUGAUAUAAGGUGCUAAUGUAGAUUUUAUAAUCUCAGACAGUUUGCUGCCUCUGAGAGAAAAAAAAAAUCGGUUAGAAGCAAGCAGUGUAUAACAACUGGCCUCCUGAUUCAAUUAGUGGUCUACACAAACCAGGAUCCUCUCUCCAACAGCAAUGUGUGAUAACGGUUUUCAUGCACUGAAAAACUACACUGAAUUAUUACCCCCUCAUUGGAACUUUCCAGUUGUUCAAAUCCGCUGGUUUCUUCAUGUUAGGAUAGCAUACAUAAAUAUACUUAUAUAUAUAAAAAACUAUUUAGGAACCUACUACACAUAUUAUCUAAUAGCUGUAAAUAUUUUGAGGCUAAUAAAUUAUUGAAUAAAUUAACUGCUCCAACACCAUUGGGGAAUAAGGCUGUGAACCAAGAAAUUAGAAUAUGCAGUGCCAGAGCUGGAAGCAAUCUGCAGGUGUAGUUAUAAAAUAUGCAUGGCUUCUUGGCUCAUUUCACAAGAAUUAGCAAUCAUUAAUAUAAUUACAGUUUUUAGGAUGGUAAAGACCUUGGUUAUACUCAAGCCUGGGCCAACCACAGUGCUGUUGUUGUUUUUUUAACCCAAGACACUUGAAAACAGUAUCUGAUAGUCACACUACUUACAUUCAACUCAGUGUAGCCUCUAAUAAUCCCCACUUUAUUUCACACAAGUAAUAUAUUCCCAUAUCUCUGCUUUGCCCACUAUCCAUUAUUAUUCCACAACUAGUGCUGUCGGAUUUUCUUCUCCCUUCCUGUUCAACCCCCAUCAUGGCACAGAUACUUCCCAUGAAUUCUUUUUGCCAUAGUUGCACUUCAGUGGAUGAAAAAAAUGGGGGGAAAGUAGACUUGUGUAAAACGAAUUGCAGUGGAAUGGAAUAAACUGACAGGAGCCGGUACAUAACACCACACACAUUGGAGUGAAUACUUUACUGGCAAAAACAGGAUCUGUACAGGAGUGUCAGGCCUAGUGAGCACAGCAACUUGUGUCCGGCAGGUCUUGCCCCCAUGAUAAAGUUGCUGAGACCCUGCCUCCCCACAUCUGCCUAAGUUCCUUCUCCAGGGUUCCCCCCCCCCCCCAGCAAUCUGAGACUGCGGCAUGCCUGUGUGAAGCUAAUUUCUCCGCCCUCUUCAUGCCUUUCCUGGAUCUGGGACACCAGGGGGGAAGGGGAGCUUGUCGCAGCAAAAACACCCACGCCUCUUCAGCAGCUGCACUCUUCCUUCCUCUUCUGUUUCAGUUUCUACCUUUGAUUCUGGACUUCUCUCCACCACAGACUCCCUCUGCUCCCUAAGCCUUGUUACCCCUUAAGCUUCCAAUACCUCCUCCUCUCAGUCUUCUUUUUCUUCUUCCUCUGACCAGUUAAAGUUGUUCCAUCACCUGGCUCUCAGCCUUCUACCCCUGGGGGUUCCCCAGCUAGUCCUCCCACUAUUCCUCCCCGUCCAACCAGACCAUAACACAUACAGUGGUAACUCUAGUUACGAACUUAAUUCGUUCUGGAGGUCUGUUCUUAACCUGAAACUGUUCUUAACUAGAGGCGUGCUUUCGCUAAUGGGGCCUCUUGCUGCCGCUGCACACAAUUUCCAUUCUCAUCCUGGGGCAAAGUUCUCAACUUGAGGUAACUCUUCUAGGUUAGUGUAGUUUGUAACCUGAAGUGUUUGUAACCUGAGGCAUUUGUAACUUGAGGUACCACUGUACUAGCCAAAAACAUGAAUGAAGACCAGCAUGGAUUGAGGAAUGCUCAUGCUUACUUAACCAUAACCAUUUUUCUGUUUUGAAGAGUUUAGAGGGAUUUGCAUAUGACUCCUAGGUGGUCUACAGCCAGGCAAUUUACAGGACCAUGUUUGCUCUGUUUCAGAUAUAGUUCUGUGUUGCAUGCCUGUUGACCACUCUCUGAACAAUAAUCAAUGUAAAUCAGCUUUCAAAAGAAACAUGCACCUACUUGUGGUUAGCAAUAAUUUUUUUAAAUGAUAUUUUAUAAUUUAUAGG